CCUACGGGAGGCAGCAGUGGGGAAUAUUGGACAAUGGGCGCAAGCCUGAUCCAGCCAUGCCGCGUGAGUGAUGAAGGCCUUAGGGUUGUAAAGCUCUUUCACCGGAGAAGAUAAUGACGGUAUCCGGAGAAGAAGCCCCGGCUAACUUCGUGCCAGCAGCCGCGGUAAUACGAAGGGGGCUAGCGUUGUUCGGAAUUACUGGGCGUAAAGCGCACGUAGGCGGAUAUUUAAGUCAGGGGUGAAAUCCCAGAGCUCAACUCUGGAACUGCCUUUGAUACUGGGUAUCUUGAGUAUGGAAGAGGUAAGUGGAAUUCCGAGUGUAGAGGUGAAAUUCGUAGAUAUUCGGAGGAACACCAGUGGCGAAGGCGGCUUACUGGUCCAUUACUGACGCUGAGGUGCGAAAGCGUGGGGAGCAAACGGGAUUAGAUACCCUGGUAGUCCACGCCGUAAACGAUGAAUGUUAGCCGUCGGGCAGUAUACUGUUCGGUGGCGCAGCUAACGCAUUAAACAUUCCGCCUGGGGAGUACGGUCGCAAGAUUAAAACUCAAAGGAAUUGACGG
rnacentral:rRNA from 1 species